UAGAGACGCUGGCGGCGUGCCUAAUACAUGCAAGUCGAACGCUUCUUUUUCCACCGGAGCUUGCUCCACCGGAAAAAGAGGAGUGGCGAACGGGUGAGUAACACGUGGGUAACCUGCCCAUCAGAAGGGGAUAACACUUGGAAACAGGUGCUAAUACCGUAUAACAAUCGAAACCGCAUGGUUUUGAUUUGAAAGGCGCUUUCGGGUGUCGCUGAUGGAUGGACCCGCGGUGCAUUAGCUAGUUGGUGAGGUAACGGCUCACCAAGGCGACGAUGCAUAGCCGACCUGAGAGGGUGAUCGGCCACAUUGGGACUGAGACACGGCCCAAACUCCUACGGGAGGCAGCAGUAGGGAAUCUUCGGCAAUGGACGAAAGUCUGACCGAGCAACGCCGCGUGAGUGAAGAAGGUUUUCGGAUCGUAAAACUCUGUUGUUAGAGAAGAACAAGGAUGAGAGUAACUGUUCAUCCCUUGACGGUAUCUAACCAGAAAGCCACGGCUAACUACGUGCCAGCAGCCGCGGUAAUACGUAGGUGGCAAGCGUUGUCCGGAUUUAUUGGGCGUAAAGCGAGCGCAGGCGGUUUCUUAAGUCUGAUGUGAAAGCCCCCGGCUCAACCCGGGGAGGGUCAUUGGAAACUGGGAGACUUGAGUGCAGAAGAGGAGAGUGGAAUUCCAUGUGUAGCGGUGAAAUGCGUAGAUAUAUGGAGGAACACCAGUGGCGAAGGCGGCUCUCUGGUCUGUAACUGACGCUGAGGCUCGAAAGCGUGGGGAGCAAACAGGAUUAGAUACCCUGGUAGUCCACGCCGUAAACGAUGAGUGCUAAGUGUUGGAGGGUUUCCGCCCUUCAGUGCUGCAGCUAACGCAUUAAGCACUCCGCCUGGGGAGUACGACCGCAAGGUUGAAACUCAAAGGAAUUGACGGGGGCCCGCACAAGCGGUGGAGCAUGUGGUUUAAUUCGAAGCAACGCGAAGAACCUUACCAGGUCUUGACAUCCUUUGACCACUCUAGAGAUAGAGCUUCCCCUUCGGGGGCAAAGUGACAGGUGGUGCAUGGUUGUCGUCAGCUCGUGUCGUGAGAUGUUGGGUUAAGUCCCGCAACGAGCGCAACCCUUAUUGUUAGUUGCCAUCAUUUAGUUGGGCACUCUAGCAAGACUGCCGGUGACAAACCGGAGGAAGGUGGGGAUGACGUCAAAUCAUCAUGCCCCUUAUGACCUGGGCUACACACGUGCUACAAUGGGAAGUACAACGAGUCGCAAAGUCGCGAGGCUAAGCUAAUCUCUUAAAGCUUCUCUCAGUUCGGAUUGUAGGCUGCAACUCGCCUACAUGAAGCCGGAAUCGCUAGUAAUCGCGGAUCAGCACGCCGCGGUGAAUACGUUCCCGGGCCUUGUACACACCGCCCGUCACACCACGAGAGUUUGUAACACCCGAAGUCGGUGAGGUAACCUUUUGGAGCCAGCCGCCUAAGGUGGGAUAGAUGAUUGGGGGAAGUC
rnacentral:rRNA from 1 species